rnacentral:lncRNA from 1 species
GGCUAGAAUAAUCUAUGAGAUAAAUUUGAAAGGUUAAAAUAUAAUGUAGUCAACUAAAUUAGGAUUGAUAGUGAAUCCCUAGGUUACCUUGAGCAUUUGGAUUAAAGGGAUGAAUUAUAUGGUAACCAUAUGCUAGUAGGUUCUAAAAGGUUGCUUUGCGAUGCUUUGACCUAUCCAAUCAUCGGGUCACCAUUGCUAGAUGGUUAUAUCAAUUGGUAUAGAAAGUUGUUUCUAUACUAUCGACUUAGGUUUAAACCUAUGGGCUCACAUGCAUUAGAAGAUUUGGUUAGUUCAGAUGGCUGAAG